GCUCCCGUAGCUCAAUGUAUAGAGCGCCUGAGGUGCUCUUCGAACGCGGAGGUUGAGGGCGAAAGUCCUUCCGGGAGUGCCA
rnacentral:tRNA from 1 species